rnacentral:rRNA from 1 species
GUGGGGAAUUUUGGACAAUGGGCGCAAGCCUGAUCCAGCAAUGCCGCGUGCAGGAAGAAGGCCUUCGGGUUGUAAACUGCUUUUGUACGGAACGAAACGGUCCGGGUUAAUACCCUGGGCUAAUGACGGUACCGUAAGAAUAAGCACCGGCUAACUACGUGCCAGCAGCCGCGGUAAUACGUAGGGUGCAAGCGUUAAUCGGAAUUACUGGGCGUAAAGCGUGCGCAGGCGGUUUUGUAAGACAGGCGUGAAAUCCCCGGGCUCAACCUGGGAAUUGCGCUUGUGACUGCAAGGCUGGAGUGCGGCAGAGGGGGAUGGAAUUCCGCGUGUAGCAGUGAAAUGCGUAGAUAUGCGGAGGAACACCGAUGGCGAAGGCAAUCCCCUGUGCCUGCACUGACGCUCAUGCACGAAAGCGUGGGGUGCAAACAGGAUUAGAAACCCGAGUAGUCC